AUAUAUUAUAUUUUUAUUUCCCAGAGUAUGAAUUCAAUCGAUGGCAGCAAUAAUAUUAAAAAAGAGGACACAGACAGUGAGGAACGAAGAUUUGUGCAGAUCCCACCAGAAACAGUUGGAUUAGUUGGUGAAACAUUGGGAAUUACUAAUAUACCCGAAAGUAUUACACGAUCCUUGUCAGAGGAUGCAUCCUAUAGAUGUCGCGAGGUGGUUCAUUACUGUACUCAAUUUUUACGACAUGGAAAACGCAGAAAACUAACAACAAAUGAUUUUAAUAGAGCACUACGUUGGUAUGACGUUAGCCCAAUCUUUGGCCAGGGCUCUGAAACUUGUCCAAAUUUUAUUCGAAUUCCAGAAGCAGAAAUUUUUAUACCUGAUGAGGAGAAGCCAAUCAAUCUUACAAAUUAUUCUCUCAGUAAUACAUCACAUGAAAUUGGAGAAGACCCAAUUAUAAAAGGGUUUUGGUUAAGUAUUGAGGGCACACAAUUGCCAAUUGAUUCGGAAGAUAAUAAACCAAUUGAGCACCCACAACCCAAUCAUAUUACCCCUACCCUUCUUCAAUACUAUACUAGUGUUACUAACAUCAUUCUUGGAAAUUCUGAAGAAAUGUUGAGGAUAAUACUUGAUGAUUUAAAAACAAAUUCUAAAAUUAGCACCCUUCUACCAUAUUUUGUUACUUUUAUUCGCAAUACUUUACAAAAACAUUGCGAUAAUCGCAUUAUUACUGGACGGCUCUUAUAUUUUUUACAAUCCCUUUUCUCGAAUGAAUAUUUAAAUUUGAGUCCUAAACCUUAUUUAAGUCAUUUAGUGACGGGUCUAUUAUCAAGUCUUAUUAUUGAACGUCGAAGUCGCGAAAUUUCUGAAAUCGAUAAAUUAACACUUAAAAUUGAGCAUGUGCCGUUGGCCUCAAGAAUACUAAGAGGCGUUCUGGAUCGUUGGGCUACCCCAGUUAACCUACUAAGAUCUCAAACAUUAAGAGCCCUCCGCGAAUAUCUCAAAGACACUAAACUUUCCUAUAGUUCUCAAUAUGGAGCUUUAUCAGCUCUAAUAGCUUUGGGUCCAGAGGUGUUAGAAGAUACUCUAGUUCCUCUUAUGAACAAUUAUUACCUAUCACUUGAGUCCAAGUUUGAAUCGAGUAGAAGUAAUAUUAGAUCUGUUUCUCUGUACGAAAAAGAAAGACAAGUAUUAGUACAUAUGAUGGGUCAAAUUCUCACAGCCUCAAGGAUAAUUAUUCAUCACAGAUCUUCCAAUCCAGAAUUGAAACCGGUUAUUAUUUCCAAAGUUCCUAUCAAAGAUGAAAUUAAAAAGGAACCUGGUACAGUUUCUAAUCAUACUCAUGGAUCAUCUGUGACCAUAAAUGAGAUUUCAACUUCUUUAUUAGAUGUAUAUAACUCUGCAUAUAAUAAUUUUGGAGAUAGUCUUUGCAUAAUUCCUUUGUGCCCUGCAUAUAAAGUUAAGCACGAGCACAAUGCACUUCAUAUAACAAAUCAAAAAGUUAAAUUUUGUAUAAGGAAGUGUGGUAAUCUAUUAAAAUUUGAUGGCUUUUCAUCAAAAAAUCACGACAGCACCAUGACCAUGGUAUCUAAGGAAUUAGAGGAUCCGACCCCAUCUGACAAUAUUUUCUCAACUUCACAAAAUUUUGACCAUCUGGCUCAUAUGGGAGUACCCAGUGAUAUAUUCGACGAAACUUCGAACGACGGUUUUAUUGAUACAAGCAGUACUCAAAACAAUGGAUUGAAUUCUGAAGAUAUAACAGACUCAUCGAGAACCCCUGUGUCACAAAGUGUUCAAAACGAGUUUGAAGUUUCAUCGAAAUAUAUUGUAGUUCAAUAUCCAAAGAUUUCAUUCUACUAUGGACGGCCCUGGGAACAAUUAAAAAGAAAGUCGUUUGAACAUUUGCGAGAAGAUACUAAGACAAAAAGAAAUUGCUUUAUAGGAAAAAAGUUGGGUGGAACCUUUUAUACUGAAGAACAACGUAGGUUGAUCCUACUCCACUCAUGUUCUCUUUAUACGACGAUCUAAAUCAAUCAUAGUCAUUUCAUCUCCUCUACUCCCAAUUUCUAGGCACUAGGUGUUUUUCAAAUGGAACUUGUAAUCAUAAUUAGCUUUUCAAUUACACUCAAAGUUAACAAGACUUUGAAGCCUUUCAACUACUACUAUUUUUCAUCUUAAUAUCAAAUAUGUCGUAUAGAAUUAUAUCGUACAAUUCUCUAAUUUCUCUAUAUCAUCACAACAAAGACAAAAUAAAGAAAACCAGCCACUAAUAAUGCUUCAAGAUUCUGAAUUUAUGAGAUGCAAUUAUUGGACAUUUUAUACUAACAAAUAACAUUUUCCGAAAUAGUCAUGAACUACACCAAAAUAUUCACAUUGACAUCAAAAUAUACAAAUCACUUAAUUUUCA
rnacentral:misc_RNA from 1 species